CCCCAUGCCAGUUGUAAAUUCUACGGUUCAUGCUCCCCUCUAUGUUUGAGGGUGAGCAUGAACCGUAGAAUUUACAACUUGCAUGUGG
rnacentral:pre_miRNA from 1 species